GACGAACGCUGGCGGCGUGCUUAACACAUGCAAGUCGAACGGUGACGAGGAGCUUGCUCCUCCGAUCAGUGGCGAACGGGUGAGUAACACGUGAGUAACCUGCCCCGGACUCUGGGAUAACAGUUGGAAACAGCUGCUAAUACCGGAUACGAGACGGAGAGGCAUCUCUACCGUCUGGAAAGUUUUUUCGGCUGGGAUGGACUCGCGGCCUAUCAGCUUGUUGGUGAGGUAAUGGCUCACCAAGGCGACGACGGGUAGCCGGCCUGAGAGGGCGACCGGCCACACUGGGACUGAGACAGGCCCAGACUCCUACGGGAGGCAGCAGUGGGGAAUAUUGCACAAUGGGCGAAAGCCUGAUGCAGCGACGCCGCGUGAGGGAU
rnacentral:rRNA from 1 species